CCUACGGGAGGCAGCAGUGGGGAAUAUUGGGCAAUGGGCGCAAGCCUGACCCAGCAACGCCGCGUGAAGGAAGAAGGCUUUCGGGUUGUAAACUUCUUUUCUCAGGGACGAAGAAAGUGACGGUACCUGAGGAAUAAGCCACGGCUAACUACGUGCCAGCAGCCGCGGUAAUACGUAGGUGGCAAGCGUUAUCCGGAUUUAUUGGGUGUAAAGGGCGUGUAGGCGGGAGCGCAAGUCAGAUGUGAAAACUCAGGGCUCAACCCUGAGCCUGCAUUUGAAACUGUGUUUCUUGAGUGCUGGGGAGGCAAUCGGAAUGCCGGGUGUAGCGGUGAAAUGCGUAGAUAUACGGAGGAACACCAGUGGCGAAGGCGGAUUGCUGGACAGUAACUGACGCUGAGGCGCGAAAGCGUGGGGAGCAAACAGGAUUAGAUACCCGAGUAGUC
rnacentral:rRNA from 1 species